CAGGUGGUGCAUGGUUGUCGUCAGCUCGUGUCGUGAGAUGUUGGGUUAAGUCCCGCAACGAGCGCAACCCUCGUUCUAUGUUGCCAGCACGUCAUGGUGGGAACUCAUGGAAUACUGCCGGGGGUCAACUCGGAGGAAGGUGAGGAUGACGUCAAAUCAUCAUGCCCCUUAUGUCUUGGGCUUCACGCAUGCUACAAUGGCCGGUACAAUGGGCUGCAAUACCGCAAGGUGGAGCGAAUCCCAAAAAGCCGGUCCCAGUUCGGAUUGAGGUCUGCAACUCGACCUCAUGAAGUCGGAGUCGCUAGUAAUCGCAGAUCAGCAACGCUGCGGUGAAUACGUUCCCGGGUCUU
rnacentral:rRNA from 1 species